UAGGGAAUCUUCCGCAAUGGGCGAAAGCCUGACGGAGCAACGCCGCGUGAGUGAUGAAGGUCUUCGGAUCGUAAAACUCUGUUAUUAGGGAAGAACAAAUGUGUAAGUAACUAUGCACGUCUUGACGGUACCUAAUCAGAAAGCCACGGCUAACUACGUGCCAGCAGCCGCGGUAAUACGUAGGAGGCAAGCGUUAUCCGGAAUUAUUGGGCGUAAAGCGCGCGUAGGCGGUUUUUUAAGUCUGAUGUGAAAGCCCACGGCUCAACCGUGGAGGGUCAUUGGAAACUGGAAAACUUGAGUGCAGAAGAGGAAAGUGGAAUUCCAUGUGUAGCGGUGAAAUGCGCAGAGAUAUGGAGGAACACCAGUGGCGAAGGCGACUUUCUGGUCUGUAACUGACGCUGAUGUGCGAAAGCGUGGGGAUCAAACAGG
rnacentral:rRNA from 1 species